rnacentral:rRNA from 1 species
AGCGAACGCUGGCGGCAGGCCUAACACAUGCAAGUCGAACGAAGUCUUCGGACUUAGUGGCGGACGGGUGAGGAACACGUGGGAACGUACCUUUUGGUUCGGAACAACUCAGGGAAACUUGAGCUAAUACCGGAUGAGCCCUUAGGGGGAAAGAUUUAUCGCCGAAAGAGCGGCCCGCGUUAGAUUAGCUAGUUGGUGAGGUAAAGGCUAACCAAGGCUACGGUCUAUAGCUGGUCUGAGAGGGUGAUCAGCCACACUGGGACUGGGACACGGCCCAGACUCCUACGGGAGGCAGCAGUGGGGAAUCUUGCGCAAUGGGGGGAAGCCUGACGCAGCCAUGCCGCGUGAAUGAUGAAGGUAGUAGGAAUGUAAAAUUCUUUUACCAGGGACGAUAAUGACGGUACCUGGAGAAAAAGCCCCGGCUAACUUCGUGCCAGCCGCCGCUGUAAAAC